rnacentral:rRNA from 1 species
UACGAAGGGGGGCUAGCGUUGCUCGGAAUCACUGGGCGUAAAGGGCGCGUAGGCGGCCAUUCAAGUCGGGGGUGAAAGCCUGUGGCUCAACCACAGAAUUGCCUUCGAUACUGUUUGGCUUGAGUAUGGCAGAGGUCAGUGGAACUGCGAGUGUAGAGGUGAAAUUCGUAGAUAUUCGCAAGAACACCAGUGGCGAAGGCGGCUGUCUGGUCCGGUUCUGACGCUGAGGGCGCGAAAGCGUGGGGAGCAAACAGG